UUAUUCACAAUGUAAAAGAUGUUUUUUUUUCUUCAUUUCUUCUAUAUUGUAAUGUACAUUUGAGUGUAAUGAAUUAUCAAAAAAUAAUGCUGAUUGCCUGAUUGGAUGCUGAGAUGUGGGCGUGGCACUCUCAAUGAAGGCGGGGCUACAUGCAGUGGGUUGUAAGAAAGGGGUGGGGUUUGAGAGGAUUAAAAUUAUUAUAGAAGUCUUGUAUGUGUCACCAGAGAAAAAUCAUUUCACCAGAUGAUCCAGUUAUGACAUUCUGAUUAAAUUAUGAGGUAAAAAAAAAAAAAUAUGCAUUUAGAAAAUUUAAUUUAAUGCCAACUUUAAGAUGGUAUAUUAAAAUACAACCAACCUAAUUAUUCAGUGUUUCCUCAAACCUGAUUAGUCACUUGUUCAUACAACCCAGCAACCAGUCCAUUUUUCGAAUACAUAGCUGCAGUUUGCUACUGUACAUUAAGUCCAGUUUGAUUCCUUGCACUCAGAUGUACAGUAGCAGGAAUUCAGCCAAUCACAUCUCAGCUCUGCGGAAUAAUGAAUAAAUCAGCACUCAGAGCCUGAGGAGGGUGAGGCGGCAGGGGGCGAGUCAUGUGACGUUCAGCUCAGAACAAACCAAUGAAAACACUUUACACAGCGACACGGUUUUAGAGAUCCUGCAUCAGUUCCCGCUCGCUCCUGUCUGUCUGUGUCUGUCCCUCAUUCACUGCCAAAUCUCUGUCUGUCUGUCUCUCUCAUCUGAAGGUGUUUAUCUACUCGUAUGACGACAUAUCAUAGACUUGUAUUGGCUUUAUAUAAAGUUAAUUAAGUAGAUUACAACCCAAACCAAACCAAACACCUAAAAAAAAUAAGGUUAUCCUGUAUUUAACGUGUCAAAACAGCCUGCUAUUUUGUUGUAUUUUGUUUUUACAUUCUUAAUUUAAUUUACUGCUAUUUUAAUGCUAAAUGGAAACAGCAAGGAUCUUUCAAAAGUGGUUCAGAUGGAUCAAAUCCAAACACACUGUGACAUUCUGGCCAAUUAGAGAGAGAGAGAGAGAGAGAGAGGUUAAACUAGCUCAAGGGUUUAGUUGAACUCCACUGAGCAGUAAACACACGUUCACAUGCUGCUCAGUGACUCAUGGUUCCUUUUUUCUAUGUGUUUUCUCUUUAAUAAUCAUGUGCAGAAACACACAGAUAUUCCCACGAUGCAGGUGUGAAAUGAACGAGUAUUAACUUCUGCCGCUCUCCACUCCUUCACUCUCCAAAGACAUUUCAGCAAACGUUAGCAAUGCCUCUGUCUUCUGAUUGAGUCACGUGCCCCAAAAUAAACUUCAAUUAUUACAACUGAGAAAUAAUUAUGGUUUGGCAGUCUGAUGCCAUAAGAGAAAUGUUCAUUUUAAUUUUUAGCUUUGGUAAAAA
ensembl:lncRNA